CGCUGCCAACAGGAAACCUACAAAGGUCACCAGUCCUAGCCGCUGUGCCGUUGGGUGGCUGUGAGGAGGAGUAUGACUUUACACUCUUUCUCCUAUCCUAGAUUGGUCUGGAGGUUAGCAGGUUGCUAUGAUCCAACCACAAAUUGCUCCCAUUUGUCUGGUGGAAAACCACAUUGAAUGGCUGUCAGUGAACCAGAAAGCCAUAGAGAUUCUGGACAAGAUUUCUCAGCCAGUGGUAGUCGUGGCUAUUGUUGGAUUGUAUCGUACAGGGAAGUCCUAUUUGAUGAACCGUCUGGCAGGACAGAAUCGCGCUGUGACUAAAACACCCGAAAAGAAACACUGAUGGAAAGGCACUUAUCUUGACAUGGUUUGGGAGAUUUCACUCAACAUUCUUGGUUCAUUCAUCUUGGGACCCGCUGCUCGGAAGAAGGAGGCAGAAACUGAGGAAGGGACCGAGCUCUAACCUUCAAAACCCGUUCUGUAGUUACCGGCAUCCUCGACUAGGCUUCAACNAAGCUUCCUAAGACCUUCAGAUUUUUUCCAACCAGUGGUUGGCUG
rnacentral:lncRNA from 1 species